ensembl:lncRNA
GAUUUAGACUAAGUUUUAAAUUCUUAUGUUUUAGAUAUACUAUAUGCAUGGAUGUCAGUUUAUUUAUGUGUUUCCCCCACAGAAUAAGAGACAGAGCUCUGGGACGUGUGGACAGACAUUCACUGUGAUGAUGGACAUCUCCUCAUGGACAGGUGAGACUUAUUACGUGUGUUUGUGUUUUAUUGUGUACUUGACAUAUAGGUUACCAUCAUUUCUUUUUGGAGGCUCACCCCUCUAGAAAGCAAAUGAUGGUAACCUAAACAGGUGGGGAAGGGACAGCGGUUCAAAAUUUGUAUACAGCUAAAUUACUUUUAAUAUCAAGAAGCAGAACCGCUGCUGGACAUGGUUCCAGGGAUUGGGGGGGACCUGAAGCAUCCCCACCCCUUCAUUCACACAACACUCACUCUCAUAUCGCAGAGAUCUGGCUGGGGUCGAACCAGCAACCUCUGAACCGUGAGGCAGAGCUCUUACCCAUGAGCCACAGAUCACCUGUCUGAGCAUAUGAAGGAACUAAUACAGUAUUUCAUCAUUUACCUUUGAUUUUACUAUAAACCAGCUAAAGCUUUGUCAGAGUCUCACUGUUGUGUGAAAACAAUCACAACAUGCUGAAGUGGGAUUUGAACCCUUGUCUUUAUCACAGCUUUAUUGACAGAGAAAAUCUGUUUAGCCACUUGCACCACCACGGCUCUCAGACUGAAACUUGCUGUUUCAGGAAGUUUGACAACAGUUGAAUCUAAGCCAAAGUGGGAUUUGAACUCAACACAACGCUUUAUCUCCUGAGCCACCGAUAUAUAUAUAUAUUUUUUUUGUACAUAGAUCACUUAAUUUCUUGGACAUUUUAAUAAAUCACCUAAUCUUUUCUAGCAAAUGGUCUGCACUCAUCUGUAUGAAUUAACAUUGUUUCUACAGUACAUGAGAAAUUUCAUUAUUCUUUUUUUAAUAGGAAGUAGAGCACAGAUUGGAAUGGGGCAGUGUGAUCAAGAAAAGAGUGGAAUCAAACACAGAUCUCCUUGCUACGUUUCUGGACUUGGGAACAUUUCAGUUGCAUUGCUGUCUAUGCAGGGUCAGACAGCUCCAGAUUCCAUCGAAAAAAAUCUUAAUUUGUGUUCUGAAGAUGAACGAAGGUCUUACGGGUUUAAAACGACACGAGGGUGAGUAAUUAAUGACAGAAUUUUCAUAUUUGGGUGAACUAACCCUUUAAUAAUGAACCAGUUGUCAUCAGAAGGCAACAUACAUAAAUAGGGUCUUUCCCAAAACCAACACAUGGAAUCUCUGCAUUUGAGCAUUGUUCUAAUCACAGAGCUUUAUUUACACAUUUUGAUUUUUAAAAGUUUGCACUUUAAAAUAAACUUUUAAAUGUCAGCUCA